rnacentral:rRNA from 1 species
UAGAGUGUGAUAUGGCUCAGAUUGAACGCUGGCGGCAGGCCUAACACAUGCAAGUCGAGCGGCAGCGGAAAGUAGCUUGCUACUUUGCCGGCGAGCGGCGGACGGGUGAGUAAUGUCUGGGAAACUGCCUGAUGGAGGGGGAUAACUACUGGAAACGGUAGCUAAUACCGCAUGAUGUCGCAAGACCAAAGUGGGGGACCUUCGGGCCUCACGCCAUCGGAUGUGCCCAGAUGGGAUUAGCUAGUAGGUGAGGUAAUGGCUCACCUAGGCGACGAUCCCUAGCUGGUCUGAGAGGAUGACAGCCACACUGGAACUGAGACACGGUCCAGACUCCUACGGGAGGCAGCAGUGGGGAAUAUUGCACAAUGGGCGCAAGCCUGAUGCAGCCAUGCCGCGUGUGUGAAGAAGGCCUUAGGGUUGUAAAGCACUUUCAGCGAGGAGGAAGGCGUUGUAGUUAAUAGCUGCAACGAUUGACGUUACUCGCAGAAGAAGCACCGGCUAACUCCGUGCCAGCAGCCGCGGUAAUACGGAGGGUGCAAGCGUUAAUCGGAAUUACUGGGCGUAAAGCGCACGCAGGCGGUUUGUUAAGUCAGAUGUGAAAUCCCCGAGCUUAACUUGGGAACUGCAUUUGAAACUGGCAAGCUAGAGUCUUGUAGAGGGGGGUAGAAUUCCAGGUGUAGCGGUGAAAUGCGUAGAGAUCUGGAGGAAUACCGGUGGCGAAGGCGGCCCCCUGAC